rnacentral:misc_RNA from 1 species
AACGCACAUUGCGCCCCUUGGUAUUCCGAGGGGCAUGCCUAUUCGAGCGUCAUUAUCACCCCUCAAGCUCAGCUUGGUGUUGAGGUCUGCUGUGAAGGCAGCCUCUAAAAUCAGUGGCAGUGCUGUCAGGCUCUAAGCGUAGUAAACUUCAUCGCUAUAGACACCGGAUGGACACUCGCCAGAACCCCCCAUCUUUUAAUGAUUGACCUCGGAUUAGGUAGGGAUACCCGCUGAACUUAA